rnacentral:rRNA from 1 species
UUUGCUGGCGACCGGCGCACGGGUGAGUAACACGUAUCCAACCUGCCGAUGACUCGGGGAUAGCCUUUCGAAAGAAAGAUUAAUACCCGAUGGCAUAGUUCUUCCGCAUGGUAGAACUAUUAAAGAAUUUCGGUCAUCGAUGGGGAUGCGUUCCAUUAGGUUGUUGGCGGGGUAACGGCCCACCAAGCCUUCGAUGGAUAGGGGUUCUGAGAGGAAGGUCCCCCACAUUGGAACUGAGACACGGUCCAAACUCCUACGGGAGGGCAGCAUG